UGAAAGAGACUUGUUUGCAACAGAUUUUUUUUAUUUCACAAAAAUAUAUAUUUUCCGUGUAUUACUUUAUAAAAAUUCCUCCAUCUAAACAUUAUUUCUCUCUGUUGCACUUUAUAUUCAUGAUCCUUGUAAAGUUGUAAACACUGUAAAGUUAGAAUAUGAUAUACUCCAUGUGCUAUCAAACUAAAAUAAACAAUAUUUCAUAGACAAAUUUAUGUUUUUAAAGGAGCAAGUAAAAAAGAAAGGAGAAAGCAUAUGCAUGUGAUGGAUAUGCUAAAAUUCUCCUUUGAAAAAGACAAAUUUUAAAUAUAUUUAUUAUAUUUAAUGUAGAUUUUAUUUUCAUUUAACAUCUAUUAGAGUAUCACGUACAGUCCAAUUAGUCAAGUUUGUUUUUUCUUAAUCAAUUCUAUGCCCCUACUGCUUGGUAGCAAAUGGAGGAUCUGAUCUUGCUCCCAUUCAAAUCAAUGGGACUUUUGUCAUUGACUUUAUCAGAAGCAUCAGCACUCCUGAAGACUAGUAUUACCUCUUCUAAGCCUGAAUUCAGCCCAAAGGAAACCUUAAUGUAAAUUCUUACGUGUUUUGCUGAACAGGAUGGAGCACAUGGUUAAAGUACUUUGAUAAAUCAAGGCCCUGAUGAGACAGAAGCCAGUCUGGUAACAUUGGUUGUUAAUCCUCUUCAGAACAUUACUGCUAUUUAAUCUUCAAACAACUGCUGCAAGAGGUGCUCUACUGUUUAGUCCUUGCCAGUGCAGCUACAGUAAAAUUCGGUCUAUAUGUCCGGGGAUAGAGCUGAAAUCUUCAUGGGACAUCUCCAUGAAGCUCUCCUGGAGCUGUGACUGUCUCCCAACCUACCCUGGCAUCACACUCCCAGAGGCUGGCGCAGGUUAGGCGUAGAAAGAAAAGGACACGGGACGACAUGUUCUCAAAACUUAUGGGCUGCUCCCGAGCCGAGGCAACCCAGCAGACCCAGUGGAGGGAGAACAUGUCGCAAUACCAGCGAGCACACAGCGAACGGGAGGAGAGGUGGCGGCAGGAAGACCAGCAGGCAACUCAAACGCUGCUUGGACUAAUGAGGGAGCAAACGGACACGCUCUGGCGCCUUGUGGAUAUUCUGCAGGACCGGAGGCAGGAGGACAGAGCUCCGCUGCAGUCUAUCUGUAACCACCCUCCCCCGCCACAAAGUCCCAUACCCACCUCACCCAAAGUACCAAGAAGGAGGGGCGGCAGAGUCCAUGAAAACUGUCACUCCACCCCUGCAGACUGCUCAAGUACGAGAAGGCUGUCAUUCCCCAAAAUUUGAUAAGUCCUUUCCUUCCCGCUUCACCCAAGCCCCCAUCCCAGUUUCAUCCCCUAACUGUGUAGUUGCUAAUAAAAAAUACGUUUCUGUUAAUUACUGUUUCCAUCAUG